GUAGGGAAUAUUGCACAAUGGGGGAAACCCUGAUGCAGCGACGCCGCGUGAGUGAUGAAGGCCUUCGGGUCGUAAAGCUCUGUCGUAUGGGACUAACAAAAUGAAGGUACCAUGCAAGAAAGGAUCGGCUAACUUCGUGCCAGCAGCCGCGGUAAGACGAGGGAUCCUAGCGUUGUUCGGAAUUAUUGGGCGUAACGCGGGUGUAGGCGGGCCUGUCAGUCAGGUGUGAAAUCCCAGGGCUUAACCCUGGAAGUGCACUUGAUACUGCAGGUCUUGAGUGUGGUAGAGGCUAUUAGAAUUCUUGGUGUAGUGGUGAAAUACGUAGAUAUCAAGAGGAAUACCGGAGGCGAAGGCGGAUAGCUGGGCCAACACUGACGCUGAGACCCGAAAGCGUGGGGAUCAAACAGGAUUAGAUACCCUAGUAGUCC
rnacentral:rRNA from 1 species